rnacentral:rRNA from 1 species
GGCGUGCUAAUACAUGCAAGUGGAGCGACGAACCAGGCUUCGGCCUGGGGCAAAGCCGCGAACGGGUGAGUAACACGUGGGUAACCUGCCCCGAUGAUUGGGACAACCCGAGGAAACUCGGGCUAAUACCGAAUGUGCCCUCCGGCCAUAAGGCCGGUGGGGAAAGGAAGCUUCGGCCUCCGCAUCGGGAUGGGCCCGCGGCCCAUUAGCUUGUUGGUGAGGUAAAGGCUCACCAAGGCGACGAUGGGUAGCUGGUCUGAGAGGACGAUCAGCCACACUGGGACUGAGACACGGCCCAGACUCCUACGGGAGGCAGCAGUAGGGAAUCUUGCGCAAUGCGCGAAAGCGUGACGCAGCAACGCCGCGUGGGGGAAGAAGGCCUUCGGGUUGUAAACCCCUUUCAGUUGGGACGAAGCUCCGUCGGUGAAUAGCCGGCUGGAGUGACGGUACCUUCAGAAGAAGCCCCGGCUAACUACGUGCCAGCAGCCGCGGUAAUACGUAGGGGGCUACGUUGUCCGGAAUCAUUGGGCGUAAAGAGCGUGUAGCGGCUCGGUAAGUCCGCUCUGAAAGCCCGGGGCUCAACCCGGGA